rnacentral:rRNA from 1 species
UACGGGGGGAGCAAGCGUUGUUCGGAUUUACUGGGCGUAAAGGGCUCGUAGGCGGUUUGUUGCGUCGGGAGUGAAAACUUCGAGCUUAACUCGGAGCUUGCUUUCGAUACGGGCAGACUUGAGGCAUUCAGGGGAGAACGGAAUUUCUGGUGUAGCGGUGAAAUGCGCAGAUAUCAGAAGGAACACCGGUGGCGAAGGCGGUUCUCUGGGAAUGUUCUGACGCUGAGGAGCGAAAGUGUGGGGAGCGAACAGG